AUACGUAGGGAGCGAGCGUUGUCCGGAUUUACUGGGUGUAAAGGGUGCGUAGGCGGGUUAUCAAGUUGGAUGUGAAAUCUCCGUGCUUAACGCGGAGGCUGCAUUCAAAACUGGUAAUCUUGAGUGAGGUAGAGGCAGGCGGAAUUCCCGGUGUAGCGGUGAAAUGCGUAGAGAUCGGGAGGAACACCAGUGGCGAAGGCGGCUUGCUGGGCCUUAACUGACGCUGAUGCACGAAAGCAUGGGUAGCAAACAGGAUUAGAUACCCUGGUAGUCCAUGCCGUAAACGAUGAUUGCUAGGUGUGGGUGGACUGACCCCAUCCGUGCCGGAGUUAACACAAUAAGCAAUCCACCUGGGGAGUACGGCCGCAAGGUUGAG
rnacentral:rRNA from 1 species